CUCCCCCGCAGGCUUCCAGCAGCUUCCGAUGCCCGGAUGCACUGACCCCCUGCGCGUCCACCCGCUUGAGAUCUCGCGGGAUUCGAUGAACCGCAAGGGGCCGGCGGGCGGCUCGACCUUAGCCCUAGAACCACACUACGCAAGCGCAGGACUAAGCCCGGCUCCGCCCCCUCCGGAGGGCGGGGUUUUGAAGUUUAGACCGGAUCCGGUGAACCCCGAGGUCGGUGAGAAGUGGCGGGAAUACGUGAUGGGUUGCUAGUCCAGAUUCAGAUUGUGAGAAUCCAGAAGACGAGGCCCAGCAUCACAACUGGCUUAGACACGUGUUUAAAAUAGCUUCUGUCUCUCUGCCUUAGCUAAUCAACCGAUGCUUUGGGCUCCUUUGGUACCCAAAAAAGCCUUGGAGAUACGCGGCUCCAGCAGUCUGCCUUUCCCUGUGUCUUCUGAAGAACCACUAGGCAAGGGCUUGUAGUUCAAGUGAACUGUCAGUUCACUCUUGUUAUGAUUUGACUAUGACACAUCCCCACAGGCUCAGCUGAUGCACUAUUUUGGAAGAUUUGGGAAAUAUUAGGAGGAAGGGCCUGAUUAGAGGAAGUGGGUUGUGAGCGUGGGGGCUUCGAAGAGUGUCUUAUUCCUGGGUUCUUCUUGUCUUUAUUUUUCCUUUCUGUCUAUCCUGAGCUGAACAUGCUUUACCACAUGCUCUCUGCCGUGACGUUCAGCUUCCACACAGGCCAGAAGCAACAGAGCCAAGUGACGACGACGGUGAACCGAAACCCCGGAGACCGUGAGUCUAACCGGUCUCCUUCCUUAUGCUGUUAAUCUCAGAUCAUCAUCACAACAACAAAGAACUGCCUGACAUGUACUUCAGAGAGCGUUCCCAAGUCAGCCACCCUCCCUGCCUGGGAAAUACUUUGCAGAACUGUUUCAAGUGAUUAUAUUUUACUUUUCAAAAACUAUUAUAUUUUACCAUG